rnacentral:rRNA from 1 species
UACGUAGGCGGAAAAUUAAGUCAGUAGUGAAAUCCUGCAGCUUAACUGUAGAACUGUUAUUGAUACUGGUUUUCUUGAAUAUAGUUGAAGUAGGCGGAAUGUGUAAUGUAGCGGUGAAAUGCUUAGAUAUUACACAGAACACCGAUUGCGAAGGCAGCUUACUAAGCUAUAAUUGACGCUGAGGUACGAAAGCGUGGGGAGCGAACAGGAUUAGAUACCCUGGUAGUCC